rnacentral:sRNA from 1 species
UAUUCUGCCUCACGGGGAAGGACGAGAACCUUCGACUAAGGUUCGACCCGAGCGACAGCGAGUGAGCGUUGCCGCAGGCAACGACCCGAAGGGCGAGGAACGCAGUGACGAGUUAUCCUUCCCCCACCACCA